rnacentral:rRNA from 1 species
UACAGAGGGUGCGAGCGUUAAUCGGAAUUACUGGGCGUAAAGCGCGCGUAGGCGGCUUUUCAAGUCGAUUGUGAAAUCCCCAGGCUCAACCUGGGAACUGCGUCUGAUACUGGAUGGCUUGAAUUCGGGAGAGGGAUGCAGAAUUCCAGGUGUAGCGGUGAAAUGCGUAGAUAUCUGGAGGAAUACCGGUGGCGAAGGCGGCAUCCUGGACCGACAUUGACGCUGAUGAGCGAAAGCUAGGGGAGCAAACGGG